UGGGGAAUAUUGGACAAUGGGCGAAAGCCUGAUCAAGCCAUGCCGCGUGUGUGAAGAAGGUCUUCGGAUUGUAAAGCACUUUAAGUUGGGAGGAAGGGCAGUAAGCGAAUACCUUGCUGUUUUGACGUUACCGACAGAAUAAGCACCGGCUAACUCUGUGCCAGCAGCCGCGGUAAUACAGAGGGUGCAAGCGUUAAUCGGAAUUACGGGGCGUAAAGCGCGCGUAGGUGGUUCGUUAAGUUGAAUGUGAAAGCCCCGGGCUCAACCUGGGAACUGCAUCCAAAACUGGCGAGCUAGAGUAGGGCAGAGGGUGGUGGAAUUUCCUGUGUAGCGGUGAAAUGCGUAGAUAUAGGAAGGAACACCAGUGGCGAAGGCGACCACCUGGGCUCAUACUGACACUGAGGUGCGAAAGCGUGGGGAGCAAACAGG
rnacentral:rRNA from 1 species